rnacentral:rRNA from 1 species
GAUGAACGCUGGCGGCGUGCCUAAUACAUGCAAGUCGAGCGAACAGACGAGGAGCUUGCUCCUCUGACGUUAGCGGCGGACGGGUGAGUAACACGUGGAUAACCUACCUAUAAGACUGGGAUAACUUCGGGAAACCGGAGCUAAUACCGGAUAAUAUAUUGAACCGCAUGGUUCAAUAGUGAAAGACGGUUUUGCUGUCACUUAUAGAUGGAUCCGCGCCGCAUUAGCUAGUUGGUAAGGUAACGGCUUACCAAGGCAACGAUGCGUAGCCGACCUGAGAGGGUGAUCGGCCACACUGGAACUGAGACACGGUCCAGACUCCUACGGGAGGCAGCAGUAGGGAAUCUUCCGCCCUGGGCGCCGGCCUGCCGGAGCCCCGCCGCGUGAGUGAUGAAGGUCUUCGGAUCGUAAAACUCUGUUAUUAGGGAAGAACAAAUGUGUCAGUAACUAUGCCCGUCUUGACGGUACCUCAUCAGAAAGCCACGGCUCCCUACGUG